GGGACACGGGCGUUGUUGUCGUGGCAACUUGGACUGUCGGCGAUGCCAGGAAGCAGAGGAUCCAGUUUGUUGGCGGCACUGAACUGUGACAACAUUCAUCAUCGUCAUCAGGGGGCUAGGAGGCUCCGCCCACCAAUCAAAGGUUCGGACUCGCGGUGCACAAGUUCUGACCUGCAGCCGUGCCGUGAUGGACUCCAGCUGGACGUUGACGUUGUCCCAUCGCUGGCCGCACUCCCUCGCCGCCGCCAGCAGACGGGCCCGCAUGGCGCCCUGAAACAGCAGAGUCAGCGUUCGAUUCCUCUGGGUCAUCCCGUCCAACUGCACCAGCCGAGAUCCCGCCUCGCAACGCAGCCUCUGUGAUCACACACACACACACACACACACACACACACACACACACACACACACACACACACACACACACACACACACACACACACACACACACACACACACACACACACACACACACACACACACGGAAAGUUCUGCGUGGUUCUACAAGUCAUAAUUGCUUUCCAGGCCCAGGAUGUUAAGGGCGGAACAUUUUUGCUGCUUGGUGAUGUCGUUCUCCUCACCUCUAACCUCCUCAGCUCCUCCUCAGCGCUCGUGUACGUGACCCGGGUCCAGCUCUGGGAGACGACGGCCUGUUCGGCCAAUCGCAGCCAAGCGUCCACGUGGGCGUGUUCCUUCAUGAAGGCGUGCCACAGCAGCCAGCGGCUCUCCAGCCUGGAGGUCGCCAUCUUGGUCCCGGCGGCCGUCACUCGCCGACGGAUCUGACACAGACGCAGGCGGGGAUUCCUCAGUGGUCACAUGGUGGAAGGCGUUGGAAGGGGGCGUGUCUGAUCCAGACAUCACCUUGUGUUCACCUUCUAGAGAACACAACGUUGUUAACAACCUGCAAUACCGCACUACAGCCUGAGGGG